GAUGAACGCUGGCGGCGUGCCUAACACAUGCAAGUCGAGCGAUCUUCUUCGGAAGAGAGCGGCGGACGGGUGAGUAACGCGUGGGUAACCUGCCUCAUACACAUGGAUAACAUACCGAAAGGUAUGCUAAUACAAGAUGAUAUAAGAGAUUCGCAUGGAUUUCUUAUCAAAGCUCCGGCGGUAUGAGAUGGACCGCGUCUGAUUAGCUAGUUGGUAAGGUAAUGGCUUACCAAGGCGACGAUCAGUAGCCGACCUGAGAGGGUGAUCGGCCACAUUGGAACUGAGACACGGUCCAAAUCCUACGGGAGGCAGCAGUGGGGAAUAUUGCACAAUGGGCGAAAAGCCUGAUGCAGCAACGCCGCGUGAGCG
rnacentral:rRNA from 1 species